CCUACGGGGGGCUGCAGUGGGGAAUAUUGGACAAUGGGCGAAAGCCUGAUCCAGCCAUGCCGCAUGUGUGAAGAAGGCCUUCGGGUUGUAAAGCACUUUCAGUGGGGAAGAAAGCCUUGGGGCUAAUACCCUCGAGGAAGGACAUCACCCACAGAAGAAGCACCGGCUAACUCCGUGCCAGCAGCCGCGGUAAUACGGAGGGUGCGAGCGUUAAUCGGAAUUACUGGGCGUAAAGCGCGCGUAGGCGGUCUGAUAAGCCGGUUGUGAAAGCCCCGGGCUCAACCUGGGAACGGCAUCCGGAACUGUCAGGCUAGAGUGCAGGAGAGGAAGGUAGAAUUCCCGGUGUAGCGGUGAAAUGCGUAGAGAUCGGGAGGAAUACCAGUGGCGAAGGCGGCCUUCUGGACUGACACUGACGCUGAGGUGCGAAAGCGUGGGUAGCAAACAGGAUUAGAUACCCGAGUAGUC
rnacentral:rRNA from 1 species